CCUACGGGAGGCAGCAGUGAGGAAUAUUGGUCAAUGGACGGAAGUCUGAACCAGCCAUGCCGCGUGCAGGAAGACGGCUCUAUGAGUUGUAAACUGCUUUUGUACAAGGGUAAACCUGAAUACGUGUAUUCAGCUGAAAGUACUGUACGAAUAAGGAUCGGCUAACUCCGUGCCAGCAGCCGCGGUAAUACGGAGGAUCCAAGCGUUAUCCGGAUUUAUUGGGUUUAAAGGGUGCGUAGGCGGAUUGAUAAGUUAGAGGUGAAAUUGCCGAGCUUAACUCGGGAACUGCCUCUAAUACUGUUGAUCUAGAGAGUAGAUGCGGUAGGCGGAAUGUAUGGUGUAGCGGUGAAAUGCUUAGAGAUCAUACAGAACACCGAUUGCGAAGGCAGCUUACCAAUCUAUAUCUGACGUUGAGGCACGAAAGCGUGGGGAGCAAACAGGAUUAGAUACCCUUGUAGUC
rnacentral:rRNA from 1 species